UACGUAGGGGGCGAGCGUUGUCCGGAUUUACUGGGCGUAAAGGAUGCGUAGGCGGAUGUUUAAGUGAGAUGUGAAAUACCCGAGCUCAACUUGGGUGCUGCAUUUCAAACUGGAUAUCUAGAGUGCAGGAGAGGAAAGCGGAAUUCCUAGUGUAGCGGUGAAAUGCGUAGAGAUUAGGAAGAACACCAGUGGCGAAGGCGGCUUUCUGGACUGUAACUGACGCUGAGGCAUGAAAGCGUGGGGAGCAAACAGG
rnacentral:rRNA from 1 species